ensembl:lncRNA
UGUUCAUUCUUGCAAGACGGGGACACCUGCUGCAGGGACCAUCUUCGUCCAAAAGGAAUGGAUUUUCAAUGCACAGUAAUGGUGCGUUUUAAUAUCCAUCCGUCUCGGAGCUCCGAGGACGUUGCCUAGCGACAUGCACAAACACGCCCCUUUUCCUCGGAAGUCGAACUCGCCAUCUCGUUUGAACUCAGCGGUGACCGAGCGAGGCUUCCGAGAUAGAAUUGAAGAUGGAUGCGCCCAGUGUGACAUCUCCCGCCCCUCUGCCUGCCACUGACCCACUGCCUUCAAAUGCCCCACUGCCCACUGUCACCGAGACUUUCCUGAAAGACCACACCCUAUACCUAAUUGACCUCAUGCGGCUGCAAUUAGAGGCAGAGGGUAGGGGCCCUCCCAGGUCCCUCCAGGACCUGAGCCAGCGCCUGAAGCUGGUCAGGAACUCGAAGAAGCUGCUGUGGGAGGAGAUUGCUGGCAAGCUGACCGACGAUUUUAAAUGUACCUUUUCCCCAGACAAGGUAGCUCGUAAGUGGAACACGUUAGUGGAGGCAUAUAAAAAAGUAAAGGACCACAAUUCGUCCACAGGGAGGGGUCCUGGUAAAUUUCAGUUUUUUCCGAGAUGGAUGACCUCAUGGGAGGUCACCAUGACAUAGUCUUCCCUGUUGUGGGAACAGCCAUGGGCCUGGAUGUGCGCAGGCCAGGUGCCCUGCAGGCCCUGCAGGUCAGUGUGUCUGCACCAGAUGCCUCACCUUCCUCGUCCACCAGUGCCGUCGCUCCAGCUCAAUCUGGAACUCCAUCACCUCCUCCGUCAUCCCGCGGUGCUCCUCGCACAGCUACCACCAUGCCCCCUGCUAACACCCCAAGGAGGCCACGCAAGCGCCAGAGGGAGGAGGACCUGUUGACGUUCCUUAGGGAGUCUGAGGCAGCCUCCCAAGCGGCCGCCCAAAAACGGCACGCUGAGACCCUUGCCCAAAUGAAGGAAGCCCAGGAGGGGCUCCAGAGUUUGCUUGGCCAGAUGGUGGCGAAGAUGUAAAAUAGAUGUCAAAUAAUUGUUUAUUUUUCAUUGGAAAAUGUUAAUGUGUUAAUGUAUUUUGGUUAAUGUUCAAAUUUUUUAUAGAUAUUAUAUGUUUUAUUUUAUAUUAUAUGUAAUUUGAUAUAUUUUAUUUUAACUUUUCCCUGUUAUGUUGUUUGUCCGUGGGCCCUGUUUUGUU